rnacentral:rRNA from 1 species
AUACGUAGGGGGCGAGCGUUGUCCGGAAUGAUUGGGCGUAAAGGGCGCGUAGGCGGCUUUAUAAGUCUGGAGUGAAAGUCCUGUUUUCAAGAUGGGAAUUGCUUUGGAUACUGUAGAGCUUGAGUGCAGGAGAGGUAAGUGGAAUUCCCAGUGUAGCGGUGAAAUGCGUAGAGAUUGGGAGGAACACCAGUGGCGAAGGCGACUUACUGGACUGUAACUGACGCUGAGGCGCGAAAGUGUGGGGAGCAAACAGGAUUAGAUACCCUGGUAGUCCACACCGUAAACGAUGAAUGCUAGGUGUAGGGGGUAUCGACCCCUUCUGUGCCGCAGUCAACACAAUAAGCAUUCCGCCUGGGGAGUACGGCCGCAAGGUUGAAACUCAAAUGAAUUGACGGGG